CUUCACCGACGGUGUUAUAACGCAAGGUAGGACGAAGAUACCAAGAAGGACAUUGUCGGCUGUCAACAGUAAAGACUUUCCUCCGCUCAAGACUGCUAGCCCGUAUGCUAACGCGGGAAACAAGUUAGCUUUCCACAGCUAGCUAAGCUGCUAGCCCUAGUAUGGAGGAUACAUCAAAGUUGGCCACAGAGACUGAACCUUCCCUCGGUGAUGUUUUAACCACCAUAAGGAACCUGGACAACAAGAUGAAUCCAUUCCACAAGCAAGAAAGCAUUUCAGGACAGAGUCCAUGAGGACCUCGCAUUACCCGCAUGGCACAGCGGAUGGACACAUUUGAGGAAAAGAUGGAUGAGCUGCUCAUGCUCUUAAGGAGCUCCCAGUCACCUCCCUCUGCUCCAGUCGAUGACGUGUUGCUGUCGCCCUGCUCAACAGUCAUCGAGCUGCAGGAGUUCAACAGGAGAGGAGGAACAAAAUGCAACUUUUUCUGACAACCUUUCAACCAAUGACGUUGUAAAACUGUAUAGCCUGCAGGGCAGAAAGAC